UUUUUCCUACGGGAGGCAGCAGUAGGGAAUUUUCGUCAAUGGGCGCAAGCCUGAACGAGCAAUGCCGCGUGAACGAGGAAGGUCUUCGGAUCGUAAAGUUCUGUUGAAGGGGAAAAAGAGCGGAGAGAGGAAAUGGUCUCCGAUUGAUAUUACCCUUCGAGGAAGUCACGACUAACUACGUGCCAGCAGCCGCGGUAAUACGUAGGGGGCAAGCGUUAUCCGGAUUUACUGGGUGUAAAGGGAGCGUAGCCGGCA
rnacentral:rRNA from 1 species